CUUGGUUUAUCCGUUCUCUUGCCU
rnacentral:siRNA from 1 species